GCGUCGAGGCAGAACUGCAAUGCUGCUGGUCUCCUCUCCUUCCUCCACCGCGUAGUUGAUGUUUUUAAGCACUAUUUCGAAGAAUUAGAAGAGGAAUCGCUUAGGGAUAACUUUGUGGUAGUGUAUGAGUUACUUGAUGAAAUGAUGGACUUUGGCUACCCUCAGUACACGGAAGCAAAAAUUCUUAGUGAAUUUAUCAAGACUGAUGCGUACAGGAUGGAAACUAAUCAGAGGCCUCCCAUGGCUGUCAC
rnacentral:misc_RNA from 1 species